ACUGAAUCAUUAUGAGUCAUUAAUUUGGUGAUUAUGAUAACAUAAGGGAAAAAAAAUGAUAUUACCUUAUUAUUAGUGUUGUCCAAAACUGGUGCCAGAAGACUCGGUAAGACCAGAGACGCAAACGUUAGUCAUCUUAAUCAGGCGUAAAGGGUGUGUAGGCUGCUUUAAAAGUUUAAAUCUUUUUAAUAGCUCUUUUGCCGUUGUCCUGCCAUUAUUUAUUUUAUUUAUAAAAUAAUAAACAAUAAUGAAUAUAAAGGCAGUACAUUUUUAAUUUUAUUAAUAUUAAUUUAAUUUAAUAAUUAUAAAGGGGACAAAAAAGAUAUCCCGGUUUAAGUAAAAAGAAUAAAAUGAAUUAAAGCUAGAAUCAAAUUGAGGAUAAACCAAAUAAUACUUAGAGUAGGGCCGAUAUCCGCAGAUACUAAGGGGAAUACUAAAGGUGAAAGCUUUUUAUCUACUAUUGAUUGACGCUGAGAAACGAAGGUGAGAACAGGAAAUAGGAUUUGAUACCCAGAUACCUCUCACUGUCAACGAUGAAUGGUGGUUGUUAGUUUUAAUAAAAACUGGUAACGAUGUUAACACGAUAACCAUUCCGCCUUGCGAGUACGGUUGCAAAACUGAAACCAAAAAAAUUAGUCGG
rnacentral:rRNA from 1 species